rnacentral:rRNA from 1 species
AAUCAACGCUGGCGGCGUGCCUAACACAUGCAAGUCGAACGCGAAAGCCCCGCAAGGGGUAAGUAGAGUGGCAAACGGGUGAGUAACACGUGGGUGAUCUGCCUCAGAGUGGGGGAUAACGACCCGAAAGGGUCGCUAAUACCGCAUAACAUCCUGCCUUUGGAUAGGUGGAGAUCAAAGCUAGGGAUCGCAAGACCUGGCGCUUGGAGAGGAGCCCGCGGCCGAUUAGCUAGUUGGUGAGGUAAUGGCUCACCAAGGCAACGAUCGGUAUCCGGCCUGAGAGGGCGGACGGACACACUGGGACUGAGACACGGCCCAGACUCCUACGGGAGGCAGCAGUGGGGAAUUGUUCGCAAUGGGCGAAAGCCUGACGACGCAACGCCGCGUGGAGGACGAAGAUCUUCGGGUCGUAAACUCCUUUCGAUCGGGAAGAAUGGCUUUCGGGUUAAUAGCCCGGAGGAAUGACGGUACCGAGAGAAGAAGCCCCGGCUAACUCUGUGC